AAUUAUACAGCGAAACUGCGAAUGGCUCAUUAUAUAAGUUAUCGUUUAUUUGAUAGUACCUUACUACUUGGAUAACCGUGGUAAUUCUAGAGCUAAUACAUGCUAAAAAUCCCGACUUCGGAAGGGAUGUAUUUAUUAGAUUAAAAACCAAUGCCCUUCGGGGCUCACUGGUGAUUCAUGAUAACUCCUCGAAUCGCAUGGCCUUGUGCCGGCGAUGGUUCAUUCAAAUUUCUUCCCUAUCAACUUUCGAUGUUUGGGUAUUGGCCAAACAUGGUUGCAACGGGUAACGGAGGGUUAGGGCUCGACCCCGGAGAAGGAGCCUGAGAAACGGCUACUACAUCCAAGGAAGGCAGCAGGCGCGCAAAUUACCCAAUCCCGACACGGGGAGGUAGUGACAAUAAAUACUGAUACAGGGCUCUUUUGGGUCUUGUAAUUGGAAUGAGUACAAUUUAAAUCCCUUAACGAGGAACAAUUGGAGGGCAAGUCUGGUGCCAGCAGCCGCGGUAAUUCCAGCUCCAAUAGCGUAUAUUAAAGUUGUUGUGGUUAAAAAGCUCGUAGUUGAACCUUGGGCCUGGCUGGCCGGUCCGCCUCACCGCGUGUACUGGUCCGGCCGGGCCUUUCCCUCUGUGGAACCCCAUGCCCUUCACUGGGUGUGGCGGGGAAACAGGACUUUUACUGUGAAAAAAUUAGAGUGCUCCAGGCAGGCCUAUGCUCGAAUACAUUAGCAUGGAAUAAUAGAAUAGGACGUGUGGUUCUAUUUUGUUGGUUUCUAGGACCGCCGUAAUGAUUAAUAGGGACAGUCGGGGGCAUCAGUAUUCAAUUGUCAGAGGUGAAAUUCUUGGAUUUAUUGAAGACUAACUACUGCGAAAGCAUUUGCCAAGGAUGUUUUCAUUAAUCAGGAACGAAAGUUAGGGGAUCGAAGACGAUCAGAUACCGUCGUAGUCUUAACCAUAAACUAUGCCGACUAGGGAUCGGACGGUGUUAUUUUUUGACCCGUUCGGCACCUUACGAGAAAUCAAAGUGCUU
rnacentral:rRNA from 1 species